GUCAGCCGCCGCGGUAGAACCAGCACCUCGAGUGGUCAGGAGGUUUAUUGGGCCUAAAGCAUCCGUAGCCGGUUGCAUAAGUUUUCGGUUAAAUCUAUGCGCUUAACGUAUAGGCCGCCGAAAAUACUGUGNANNNAGGGAGUGGGAGAGGUACACGGUACUCGAUAGGAAGGGGUAAAAUCCUUUGAUCUAUUGAUGACCACCUGUGGCGAAGGCGGUGUACCAGAACACGUUCGACGGUGAGGGAUGAAAGCUGGGGGAGCAAACCGGAUUAGAUACCCGGGUAGUCCCA
rnacentral:rRNA from 1 species